rnacentral:rRNA from 1 species
UACAGAGGUCUCGAGCGUUGUUCGGAUUCAUUGGGCGUAAAGGGUGCGUAGGUGGCACUGUAAGUCGGGUGUGAAAUCCUGAGGCUUAACCUCGGAACUGCAUUCGAUACUGCGGUGCUUGAGGACUGGAGAGGAGACUGGAAUUCAUGGUGUAGCAGUGAAAUGCGUAGAGAUCAUGAGGAAGACCAGUGGCGAAGGCGGGUCUCUGGACAGUUCCUGACGCUGAGGCACGAAGGUCAGGGGAGCAAACGGG